rfam:Salmo salar isolate Sally breed double haploid chromosome ssa26, whole genome shotgun sequence.
AAAUGACUAACAUGUAAGUCUCUCUGGAUAAGAGUGUCUGCUAAAUGACUAACA